AGCUGCGGUAUUUUAACCUGUACUAAGGUAGCAUAAUAAUUUGCCUUAUAAUUUGAGGCUAGAAUGAAUGGUUUGACGAAGGUUAAUCUGUCUCAACUUUAUUUUUUAGAAAUUAAUUUUCAUAGUGAAAAAGCUUGAAUUUUUUAAUGGGACGAGAAGACCCUAUUGAGCUUAUAAUUUUAUUGAUAUUUUUAUUAUUAUUUAUAAUUAUAUUAUAUAAAUUUUAAUUGGGGUGAUUAAGGAAUAAUUAGUUAAAAAAUAACUUCCUUAAGUGUAAUAUAUUGUUGAAUUAAGUAACCGAUUAAUUAAUAUUUUUUAUAUUAGUAUUGCUUAUAAUAUAGUUACCAUAGGGAUAACAGCGUAAUUUACUUAGAGAGCUCUUAUUGAAAAGUAAGAUUGCGACCUCGAUGUCUGGA
rnacentral:rRNA from 1 species